GACGAACGCUGGCGGCGUGCUUAACACAUGCAAGUCGAACGAUGAAGCCGGAGCUUGCUCUGGUGGAUUAGUGGCGAACGGGUGAGUAACACGUGAGUAACCUGCCCUUGACUCUGGGAUAAGCGUUGGAAACGACGUCUAAUACCGGAUACGAGCUAGGGCCGCAUGGUCACUAGCUGGAAAGAACUUCGGUCAAGGAUGGACUCGCGGCCUAUCAGUUAGUUGGUGAGGUAACGGCUCACCAAGAAGACGACGGGUAGCCGGCCGGAGAGGGUGACCGGCCACACUGGGACUGAGACACGGCCCAGACUCCUACGGGAGGCAGCAGUGGGGAAUAUUGCACAAUGGGCGCAAGCCUGAUGCAGCAACGCCGCGUGAGGGACGACGGCCUUCGGGUUGUAAACCUCUUUUAGCAGGGAAGAAGCGCAAGUGACGGUACCUGCAGAAAAAGCACCGGCUAACUACGUGCCAGCAGCCGCAGUAAGAC
rnacentral:rRNA from 1 species